CGGAGCGUAGCUCAGCCUGGUAGAGCACCGCCUUCGGGAGGCGGGGGUCGAAGGUUCAAAUCCUUUCGCUCCGACCA
rnacentral:tRNA from 1 species